rnacentral:lncRNA from 1 species
CUGUUUGAUCAUUUUAUUUUCAUGUAAAUGACACUUUGAAAGGUCAAGGAUUCAAGCUCUAGCUCAGAGAUGAGUCACCAGGAAAAUUCUCAAGGUACAGUUGUAUCAGUUCGCAAGGCUUGAGUUCUUAAAUGGUAGUUUUAAAAAAUAGAAAUAUACCUGAGAGAAAGAAAAUCGCAAAGGGUGCCUGCCCCUAAAACCCCGGGCUUAUGAGUCCCAACAGGAGACCUCAUCUCUUGCCUCUCGCCAAACACUGUACCCUCAGGACCCACAAGAGUUAAGCCCCAUGUCUUUGCUUCCAAACCUCAAGGGAAACAAGGAAUCCCCAUCUCUUUCAAUGAUAAGCAUAUCAAGGUUGUUCAGCUUAUUUUUCUAAACAUAUAAAAUCAAAGUUGAAUUUUUAAAGUAUUUUCCCCAAACAAAAAAAAUAUAGAAAACAUCAAUGUGGUGGGGGAGGAGAUUGUCCAGUUUAAAUCUUACAUUGCUGACUUUCCAGAACACAAGUUUAUCACAUCAUUGACAACUGAGAACAAACCAAGUUAGGUGAACUCUGCUAUCAUAAUAGC